AGGGGGCUAGCGUUACUCGGAUUGACUGGGCGUAAAGGGCGCGUAGGCGGCUUGUACAGUCAGACGUGAAAUUCCUGGGCUCAACCUGGGGGCUGCGUUUGAUACGUGCGGGCUUGAGUUCGGAAGAGGGUCGUGGAAUUCCCAGUGUAGAGGUGAAAUUCGUAGAUAUUGGGAAGAACACCGGUGGCGAAGGCGGCGACCUGGUCCGAUACUGACGCUGAGGCGCGAAAGCGUGGGGAGCAAACAAG
rnacentral:rRNA from 1 species